AAAUAGCGGAUGGUCGAACGGGAUUCCUUCUCUUCGUUCGAGUUUACAAGCGUUUUACGGAAUGCAAAUAGCAUUUGGUACGUAGUUGUGACUCCUCGAGAAAUAUCCGCAGUGAUUAUCGUGUACUCGCGAAAUCGUUGAAACUCGACCGGUUGACUGUACACGGUUCGUUGACCAGUGGACCAAUAUGUCGGCUCAGUUCCAAUUACUCGACGAGAGGAGGAAAAAGGAAAGAAGCCAGGAUUGCUUCCGAUAUUUUACGGCCGAACGACUAGUCGUCGAGAUUAUAACGCAUUGUGGAAAACAGUUUUAGUGCUGCCACCAGCGGUCCUCAUAGUUUCCUCGAUGCAAAAUACAUUAUUUCUAUCAACUACGAUUCUUCUACUCGUUGGAUUGUUCUUUCUUUCCUUUUUUUCAUCGACCGAAGCUAUUCUUCUCUAUCCCUCUGGUUCCGUAUUUCAGAUAACAUUGGGUGCAUCGGUGCCAGUAAGAUCGAACAAAAGAGGAAGCGUAGUUUUUUCAUCCGGAUUUCAAUACAACUACUAUUUACCAUCGAACGUAUCGGAUUUUGAAUCUACGAUCGUCAUUGCAAGGCACGUUAGAGAUCUUCGAGAUACCUAUUCGACGAUUGAAAAUUUAUUGGAGGAAUAUGGCUGGGGAAAUGGAAGAGAAUGCCUUUUAAGGAGUAUUUGCGAACUUGCGGAAGUUCCGUUUCUCAGGAGAGAACAGGAUAUCGUUGAAGAAGCGAUACAUUUAAUUUUAACACCGACUGAGGACUUGGCAAUCUCGGUUAAUUCCACUCAUCGGAGCGUUGAGGAGUCGUACAGGGAGGCUGAACGAUUGGGGAAGUCUGGCGUUGACUGCACGCUAACGUAUCCCAAUUGCAUCGAAUCACCUCUGAAAUCAUUCACCGAAAUCUUAUUUCCUUAGGGAAACAAGGAAAAGGGUUGGCGGAAGGUCACGAAACAACACGUGCCUUCCUUUUAACCAUCUGUUCGACAUCGAUCUCAAAUCUUGAUUAGUCCACUCUUCAAAACACAGUACAUUGAUCCGAGAUGACCGUUAGUCUACUCUUCUUCUUCUUCGUUUUGGCCAGUCUUCUUGGAAUAUCAUCCAGUCAAAUCGAUAGAGACUUAAGAGAAAAAAGAAACGCUUUUUAUUCGCCUCCGCUUCUUUAUCCUUUUGGUGGUACGAUAAAGAUAAAAGUAUUACACGAAGUAAAGAAUAUAAUUUAUUUUAUUGUAAAUCAAAAAUUAAGAAUUAUGAAAGAACAAAAUUAUUAUUUGAAUAAACGAAUUAGAAAAUUCUUUGCUAACAAAAAUGACCUGUACUUCGAAUGAAUAACUAAUUUGAUAUUAUUAUAAAAUCAUGAUUUAAUUGGUUUCUGAAACAUUUUUCUCUUUUUCUUUUUUGUUAGUUUAUUCAGUUAAUAAAUAUAAAAACUUAUAUUUGAACAAAGUAAAUAAAAAUGUCUAAGCACUAUAUUAUUGAUACAAGAUUAAAUA